GAUGAACGCUAGCGGCAGGCUUAACACAUGCAAGUCGAGGGGCAGCAUGAGGGUUAGCAAUAACCCUUGAUGGCGACCGGCGCAAGGGUGCGUAACGCGUGAGCAACUUGCCCGUUUCAGGGGGAUAACCGGUGGAAACGCCGACUAAUACCCCAUAGUAUGUUUUUGAGGCAUCUCUGAAACAUUAAAGAACUUCGGAAACGGAUAGGCUCGCGUGACAUUAGCUAGAUGGCGGGGUAACGGCCCACCAUGGCGACGAUGUCUAGGGGUUCUGAGAGGAAGGUCCCCCACACUGGAACUGAGACACGGUCCAG
rnacentral:rRNA from 1 species